AUACGGAGGGUGCAAGCGUUAUCCGGAUUUAUUGGGUUUAAAGGGUGCGCAGGCGGAUAAUUAAGUCAGUGGUGAAAUCCUCCCGCUCAACGGGAGAACUGCCAUUGAUACUGAUAAUCUGGAAUACGGUUGAAGUGGGCGGAAUGUAGCAUGUAGCGGUGAAAGGAAUAGAGAUGCUACAGAACGCCGAUCGCGAAGGCAGCUCACUAAGCCGAUAUUGACGCUCAGGCACGAAAGCGUGGGUAGCGAACAGGAUUAGAUACCCCUGUAGUCC
rnacentral:rRNA from 1 species